GUAUCAGGUGACUUCUGCUCAUACUCUAUUAACUCAAUUUAUUUGUCUAGUUAAACGAAAUCCCAAUGUCUGCUCAUAAGCUGUUCGACAUAAGUACUACCCUUUUAGGUCUUAACACAACUCAUAUUUGGGAUGCUAAUAGUACAAAUUCCAUUUUUAAGAUUAGGCAUAUCUAAGUGUGGUAAUUUGAACCCAAAUCAAGCUAUUGCUAAAAUUGAU
rnacentral:lncRNA from 1 species